CUGCCAUAUGAGAUGUGCCUUUCAUUUUCCACCAUGAUCGUGAGGAACUGUAAGUCCAAUAAACCUCUUUCUUUUGUAAAUUGCCUAGUCUCAGGUAUGUCUUUAUCAGCAGUGUGAAAAUGGACGAAUACAAUGAUUAUUACUAAAAACAUUUUGUUGUAAAUGGGGUAUGUGUGAUAAAAAGGAACCCACUCUGAGCGUGAAGUACAUUGGGCACCCACUGCAGAUGCUCAGACAUGCCUCAUGGAUAUCAGCAGAGGAAAUGCUUCCUGGCUGCCUGCUACCUUCAGGGGACUGUGCUGAGUGACUUGCAGACAUUGUCUCAUCUAAUCCUCAGAAAAACAUCAUUUUAGAAAUGAGAAAACAGCUAAGAGAGCCAUUCACUUGCAAGAGGAGAAGCUGAGACUUGAACCCAUGCUAAGACCGUUCAUUCACUGUCAUCUCUCAGAAAGGCCUUGGUUUGUUGAAAGUGAUGCGUUUUGAUCCUGCCUGCCCAGAGCAGGCAAGGGCAAGAUUCCUGGAUGCAACUUCUCUGCUGAAGAGAACAUUAUCGGCUCCUGAGCUCGGACUGAGACACGCAUGCUGACUCUCCCCACUGGCUCCCCUUGGAUGCCUUCCUCCGGCCCCAUCUGUACCCCUGCAAAGGCAAGACUUGCUUGGGAGGUUUUUGAAUGUGCCUGCCUGCAUCCAACGCCUGUGCAUCCAUUACCCAGCAGAAGUGCCGUCCAUUACCCAGCUGAUGUGCUGUCCAUUACCCAGUGGAAGUGCCGUCCAUUACCCAGCAGAAGUAGAACGUCGCCAACGCUUUUGAAGUCUCUGUGCCUCCUUCUGAAUUGCAUUCCCCCUGACCCCACAUAGAAGCUCUGCAGUUAAUGAUGAACACCGCAACAGCCACCUUAUCAAAUACUUCCAAAUGCCAGCCUGAAACUCACAUGGGAGAUUGACAGAGGCCAAGGACGUGUGAUUUUUAAGCUGCUGCCAAUAAGCUACUCCUAGAGGAUACUGAAAGAUCCUUUCCUGUUUUUAAAAGAAAUAACAUGCUUCAUCAACAAUUAUUACAAACUUUGGAAGGAAACGGUACUGCAGGAGCUCUAUCUCUUUUUCUCCAGUGAAAAUUGCAUUUCUAUAAUUCAAGAUCUAGUCACAAGGGCUUAAGCAAGACCUUGUGCCAGCAAUCAGGCAUGGAUCAAAUGCACUUUUGCCUUCCUAAGCUGACGGACAUUUGAGUAGCUUCCAGUAUGGGGCUGCUAGUGAGCCAGCUGCGAGAGUGUGUCACAUGGGUCACAGUGUGCUGGUGCCCAGGACUACUCCUAAUGUGCGUGAAUGCUCACGGAGCUGCUUGGAACAGCGCCGGCUGCGCGGCAUCGUCUGUUACCCUUCUGCCGGCAGAUGCAAGCCUCGGGCGAGAAAGGCCACAGCUCCCCACCUGUGAAAACCAACUCUUGUUUCCAUGAAAAGAGUUUUUAAAAAAGAUCAGCAACUGAGAACAGAAAGGAGGAAACCAAGGCACAGCCAGGAGAAAUGACUUGCCCAGCUCAACAACCAGUGAGGAGAGGUAUCAGGAUUCAAACCAGGCAGUGUGGCUCCAGAGUCCAUGGCCUUUAUCACUGCCCCCUACCCUUUGGCAAGCUCCACUUUUGAUAGCGCUGAUGUGAUAGCAGACAACGUGUAAUUGCCAAACUUUAGUCAUCAGCACGCUAGCUUUGAAUGGAAACACAAGGGGAGUUUCCGAGCUCUGAGAAGUUUCUCUACAGCUUCUGAGGUGAGGAUCCACCCUGCAUGAAGGAUACUGGGCCACUCAGGCCUUCUCCCACUCCGCGGCAGGAUCCUAGCGCCUGAGGACACUGGAGCCAUUCCAGCAACAAAUGGUAAGCAAGAUGGCCAGGAAGGAUGACUGACUCCCUCGCAGGCUCGGCCAGGCUUCAGGCCCUAUCUUUGGAUCUGUGUUCAUCAUGGUGAUUGUCAACUGCAAGCCUGAUUUGAUAGCCUUUCCUCUCGUGGUAUUACUCGGAGGUAAUGUGCAAGCAGAGAGACCCGGAUGCAAAUUCUGCUCUAUAGUUGACCAUUAUCUUACAAUGAUCUCAGUUUCCCAUAACACCAAUUUCUAUGUUUUCCAUUUAUAAACACCUGUAAUUCGCCUUGCUUGGCUUUGUGAUGUGUGAGUACAAUACAUUUGAUGUUAUAAUGGAAAUGUGCACUAAUAAAAUGCACCUUUAGCCAUUUGCUAUCUUAGGGAUUUCUGUAAUGCAUUAUUUAUAAGAAAGAUGGGUUUAGCCUUUUUUUUUUUUUUUUUGGUGAGACAGAGUUUCACUCUUGUCGUCCAGGCUGGAGUGCAAUCGCAUAAUAUCAGCUUACUGCAACCUCUGCCUCCCAGGUUCAAGCUAUUCUCCUACCUCAGCCUCCCAAGUAGCUGGGACUACAGGCACAUGCCACCAAGCCUAGCUAAUUUUUGUAUUUUUAGUAGAGACGGGGUUUCACCAUGUUGGCCAGGAUGGUCUUGAACUCCUGACCUCAGGUGAUCGCCUGCCUCAGCCUCCCAAAGUGCUGGGAUUACAGGCGUGAGCCACCAUGCCCAGCCCGGCCAUUUCUAUAAUUUUGAAAACUACUGGCUAAGGAGAAUAAUGGUGCUGAGGCUGGGGGUGUCCGGAGAACCAGCAUCCAUCUCCCAAGAAAACAAGGCGGCAGCCUGGGGCCUGGGACUGGGAGGGCAAUGAAAGAGCUCAGUGUUAUGCCCAGGAGUGAGGAAGGGCCGGGGGCAUCUCUGAGCCCCUGUGAGCACAGGAGCCCUGCCUGUCUCAGGUCUGGAAGAGGGUCUCACUUCCGGCUUCAAAACGGGCUGCCUCUCCUGUGCUGCGGUGAAGCCCCUGAGUAACAGAUGCUGAAGCCCGUGUGCUAGGAACUCAGAAGACGGGGCAGUCCCGCCCCUCCCUCCAGAUUCCGCAAGGGAAAUUACAAAGGGGUCAAGAUCAGAGGAAAUGUAGCCUCAGGAGCUUUACAGGAACCCAGUGGAGCUAAAGAAGGAGAAAGAGCCUGUGCUGGGCCUCUCUGUCCCGGAACUAGGCACAGCACACAGAGCCCUUCUUUUCCCCAGGUGUCAUGCCGAGCAGGUGCUGUGGGUUUGCUGUCUACCUGGGACUCGCACCCUUCCCCUGGUCCUACUUACACUUUUUUUUUCUUGAGACAGGGUCGCACUGUGUUGUCCAGGCUGGAGUGCAGUGGCAUGAUCACGGCUCACCGCAGCCUUGACUGCUGAGGCUCAAGUGAUCCUUCCACCUCAGCCUCCCAAGUAGCUGGGACCACAGGUGCUUGCCACAGCACCUGGCUAAUUAUUUUGUAUUUUUUGUAGAGAUGGAGUUUUUGCCAUGUUGCCCAGGCUGGUCUGGAAUUCCUGGGCUCAAACAAUCCUACCUCCUCGACUUCCCAGAGUUGGGAUUACAGGUGUGAGCCACUUCACACGGUGCUCCUGGCUCAUUUAACAAAGGUACAUUGGGCAGCACAGGCCGGGGCUGGGCUCUCUUUCUUAGGGAGUUUCUCCAGCUAGAAUGACUCAGGGAUAUCCUACUCUAACAAAAUCUUUCCCUUGAUUCUGCCUUCCCCUCAAGCUACUAUCCUAUCUCAUCCCGGCAACUUCUUGAAAGAAAGGAAUCACCACCCCAGACCAUUGUGUGUGUCUCUCUCUGACCUAACACACCUGGCUCCCUGUACCCCACUGCACCAAUGACAUCAUCCUCCGAAAGGUCACCAGCAACUUCCUGAUUUCAAAACCCAGCAGCUUUCUGUCAGCCCCGAGUCCUCACUGACCUCUCACCUAGCGAUUUACACUGGCAGCCACCCGUCACCGGGGGUAUGCACUUUGCUUCUGUGACUCUACCACCUGCUUCUCCCACCACCUCUCUGAUGCUUCUGUGCUGUCUCUGAGGACUCUUCCACCUAUUCUUGUUCUUCUUAAGGAAGACGGUUGUGUCAGUCUUUCAGGGCUGCUAAUACAAGGUAACAUGACUG
rnacentral:lncRNA from 10 species